CCUGUGACUUAGAAUGCCUUAACCAUGUGGGAAUGCAGCCCAGUAGGUCUCAGCCUAAUUUUAUCCAGCCCCUACUCAAGAUGGAGUCACUCUGGUUCAAAUGCCUCUGACACAACCACUUCCCCUUGGCUCAUCCAUUGGCUAUUCUCCAGACCUUCUCUAACUCUUUAGAUUUUCCAGGCUGGAGUCAGACACCAACCGCAAAACAUUGUUAAGCCAGAAGGCAAAGGCAAGCCCCUACUCCAUAUCUGAACUGGGAGGAGGGGAAACCCCAGCCCUGCUCUAAAAUUCUUCUCCUCUGAAUUCUUUCCUUUUGCAGCAUGCCCAGCCUCUUGCAUAGGAAGAAGUGGUAAGCUAAGGAGAGAAAUGCAGGGUUCCUAGUACACCAAUUUUCCAACUUUUUCAUCUUGGCCCUGCUUUAAAAUGAUGCAUCUACUGUCUUCAUGCCUCAGCACAGCAGAGAAAACCAUGCUGUGUUCCAGUUUACUUUGAAUGUUUCAGUGAAAAUGAUGAAGCUGAAAAAAUGACGGAGGCCCGUUUUACAUGGUCACCUGAAUGUGGAAAAGUUGAGUUGGAGCAAAACUGGCACGGCCAUACUGGAUGGACCUCAGCAUGACCAGGACACAUUUCAGCUCAAAUCCCCUGUGCCAAGAACACAUUCUGCCAAGGACCACCACCUCUUCCCACAACUGUGAGUGGAUUUAUGUCAUCACAGGAGGUGCAAAAACGUGUGGUGAGGUAAAUGAAUUGGGAUGUCCUUGGCUGCCUGAGCAAGAGGGCAACUUUCCUGCCUUUAGAAUAGAGAAAACACAGCAGGAUAAUUAAGAGGAUGAGACUUUGGUUCCAACAGACAGUGGCUUCUCCUUCCCUAAAUUGCCCUUAUUUUGUAGUAAGUUAUAAUAUGUUUAUUUUCUACCACCUUAUUACUUCACUACGUGAACCAAAAAUAAAAUCCUAAAGCCAA
ensembl:lncRNA LINC01501 long intergenic non-protein coding RNA 1501